UGACACUGCCAUAUAACUUCUCAAUACAGAAUUGAGAGAGGCCUAUGUCCUGUAGUGGAAUGAAUGCCUGUUAAUAAAAAAAAAAAAAUGUAUGUAUAUAUAUAAAUAAAUAUUUACGUAACUAUAGACCAAAGAAGUCCACAAUCUGUGUUGAAAAAUACACAUCUGAUAUGACCUAUUAUUAGGCAGAUAUUUACCAGGUAAUCAGAUCAAAUUAAUAAUGAUAAAAUAUCAUUGAGAAUUACCCAAAACUGUCCCUAAACCUCGAGAGUGCCCUUUAAACAAGCGCAUUUGCCAAUCUCCACCUGAUCUCCACCAACUGUUCCGGAUCCAGACGCGCCGUACGGGAGCAGACGACGCGCCGGACCCUGUUCUUCGCAGCAAACCGCUCGCUUUUCACCCUCUUUUCGGCACCCGAAGGAAGCAAUCAUGUUCCGCAUGGCCGCCCCUCGACUGGACGCGGCCGAGGAGAAGAGGAGAGCCCUGGAGGAGGAUAAACUGGCCAGGAAGAUCGUCUAUUCGAACUUCGGGACCUUCGUCGUGACCAUCAUGCUCAUCAAAGCAGCUCCAUACCUUAUAGAGAGAUUUUCUUAAUGAAGAGGAGCAGCAAGGAGAAUUGGCUUACAGACCUUUUGAUAAGAAAUAUAUGUUGGGGCAGUACUGAUUGUUUUUAAACAAACAUACUUUUGUAAUAAACAAAUAAAUAAGUAAAUAUAUAAAAAAAAAAA